GUAGCGAUUUCCCAAACCUGUAUAAUUAAAAACUAAGCAUUUGUGUUGUCUGUAAUUUCCAGUUGCAGCUGAGAUGUCACAUUUUCCCUUUCCCAGGUCUGUCAUCUCUGGCAGUUUCUAAGACUUUAUAGCCAACAAUUAAAUUAUCAAAACUACUGCUUCCAUCUCCAUAGCUUCUUCUCUUUCCUUUAUCCAGUAUUUUCCAGAACUUAACAAAGCAGUAAAAACAGUAAUUAGUGCUCUAAUUGGUUAAAAUAAUAAUAUAACAGACUUUCUGUCAAAAUAACAACCACAAGGCAAUAUGCUCAUUACGAAUCUUUUAAAUUCCCAGCACUAAGGCGGUUCAAAGUAGUAAAUUAUAUUACAGCAAUUUGUUUCAAAGAAAUAUAGCCUGUAAAUUUAUUUUAUCCUGACAGCUGUGACAGGCUGCACUCCCAAGUAUGUAUUUGUUUCAUGUCUGGCUGCUCAUUUCUCUUCUUCUGAUCCACACAGGCACAUUAAAAAGUUGCAUCUACACCUAAUUUUGAUUUUUCACUCUUUGCUGUGUACCAAAUUUGUAAGCUCUGUGUUUGGGUAUUUCCCUCAGCUUCAAAAUUCUGGUGAAAUCUCAGCAGCCCCAGUGUGGUGUCACCAGAGUGUUUUCUUUGUCUCUCUCAGCUGGUAAAUUAUUAAUGACGCUGCUAAAGGGAGGAGCGGGGUGGUCGGGCGGAGCAGGUGGGGGUGCUGGCAGGAGAGCAUGGGCAGGGGGAACUUGGGGGAGCCCUGAGCAGCUGAAGGAGGUGCAGAUGGCCUGGAGACACAGAUCAGUGACCACCAGCCUUGGAAAAAAAACAAAAGUCUGGAGCUCUACCUGGUGUGAGAACUUCCCACCUUGCCUCCAGAGCCUGGGUAUGAAUCACACCAUAAAUGGCCAGCAAACUUCUGGGAGCUGUGACUGA
rnacentral:lncRNA from 1 species